AGGACGAACGCUGGCGGCGUGCUUAACACAUGCAAGUCGAGCGGUAAGGCCUUUCGGGGUACACGAGCGGCGAACGGGUGAGUAACACGUGGGUGAUCUGCCCUGCACUUCGGGAUAAGCCUGGGAAACUGGGUCUAAUACCGGAUAUGACCUCCUAUCGCAUGGUGGGUGGUGGAAAGAUUUAUCGGUGCAGGAUGGGCCCGCGGCCUAUCAGCUUGUUGGUGGGGUAAUGGCCUACCAAGGCGACGACGGGUAGCCGACCUGAGAGGGUGACCGGCCACACUGGGACUGAGACACGGCCCAGGCUCCUACGGGAGGCAGCAGUGGGGAAUAUGCACAAUGGGCGAAAGCCUGAUGCAGCGACGCCGCGUGAGGAUGACGGCCUUCGGGUUGUAAACCUCUUUCAGCGAGGACGAAGCGACAAGUGACGGUACUGCAGAAGAAGCACCGGACUAACUACGUGCCAGCAGCCGC
rnacentral:rRNA from 1 species